rnacentral:rRNA from 1 species
UCGAAACCUGCCCAGCAGAACGACCAGCGAACAUGUUCAUACAUUGCGUGGGGAGGGGUUGCUGGUUCGCCAGUCCCUCCCCAACGCCGGUGGGCAGUCCCUUGGGGGUGCUCCCUGGCACAAUAACGAACCCCGGCGUGUAUGCGCCAAGGAACAUAAACAAGAGUGUGCCUGUCCUUGCCGGGUCAUCCGGCGCAGUGAUGUGGCACCCAAUCUAAGUCAUAAAACGACUCUCGGCAACGGAUAUCUCGGCUCUCGCAUCGAUGAAGAACGUAGCGAAAUGCGAUACUUGGUGUGAAUUGCAGAAUCCCGUGAACCAUCGAGUUUUUGAACGCAAGUUGCGCCCGAAGCCUUUCGGCCAGGGCACGUCUGCCUGGGCGUCACGCAUAGCGUCUCCCCUAACCCACCAAGUGUGGGAGGGAGAGGAUGAUGGCCUCCCAAGCCUCACCGGGCAUGGAUGGCCUAAAUAAGGAGCCCUUGGACACGAGAUGCUGCGGCGAUAGGUGGUACACAAGGCAUUUGCCUAGAAAGCAUCACGCCAGGCAUCAAGUAGCCUAUGUGGGCUCGAAGGACCCUUACAAACCUUUGCGACCCCAGGUCAGGCGGGGUUACCCG